GCCAAAUGAAGUAAAGGAAUGAGAGAAUUUUGUUAUUUUGAUGUGACUCUCCUGUUAUGCUAAGAGUCACAUGGCGGUUUGGCAUCAACUUAUCUUAGAGCUCAGUUUUUUUUAUAUUUUUAUAGACAGAUAUAGUUAUGAAUUUGCCCAACGGCAGUGAAUGAUAACAGUGUCUGUCACGUUAUAGUCUUUUCAAUGGACAAAA
rnacentral:misc_RNA from 1 species